AGGGGGGCACUGCAUGGAAAC
rnacentral:miRNA from 8 species